GAUGAACGCUGGCGGCGUGCCUAAUACAUGCAAGUCGAGCGAACGGACGAGAAGCUUGCUUCUCUGAUGUUAGCGGCGGACGGGUGAGUAACACGUGGAUAACCUACCUAUAAGACUGGGAUAACUUCGGGAAACCGGAGCUAAUACCGGAUAAUAUUUUGAACCGCAUGGUUCAAAAGUGAAAGACGGUCUUGCUGUCACUUAAAGAUGGAUCAGCGCUGCAUUAGCUUGUUGGUAAGGUGACGGCUUACCAACGCAAGUAUGCAUAGCCGACCCCAGAGGGUCAUCGCCCACCCGGGAACUGAGACACGGCCGACACUCCUACGGUGGGCCGCAGUAGGGAAUCUUCCGCAAGGGGCGAAAGCCUGACGUUGCAACGCCGCGUGAGUGAUGAAGGUCUUCGGAUCGUAAAACGCUGUUAUUAUGGAAGAACAUAUGUGUAAGUAACUGUGCACAUCUUGACGGUACCGAAUCAGAAAGCCCCGGCUAACUACGUG
rnacentral:rRNA from 1 species